ensembl:lncRNA
CUGCUUCAAGCCAUGACUUACCAUUUCCACUACAGUGUAUUUAAGCUGUUGAUGGCUCACAAUAGGGAUAGAAAAGUAGAGUAAGUUUUUGUGUUGUGGUAAUUGUUCUUUUCCUUAGUGGCUGCUGCCACCAGGUGGCUAGUUUAUGUAUUUGGUUGUAAGCCAUAAAUACCAUUUUUCUUUUAUCUCUGGCUAGUAAGUAUUUUUGUAUAGGUAUGUCUUCUGGUUUUUUUCCUUGUUUUUUUUUUUUUUUUUUUUUUCCCCAAUGUGUGAUGCACAGCAUUUAAAAAUAAGAAAAAAAUAGAAGGAUGUGAUUAGCAGAUAAAAAUUAAGGUCACAGGGAAGCUUGUAUUGGAAAAGUAUUUCCGAAGGCCAAAGGAAUGCAUUUAUCACUUUGUUGCUUAAAGGAUGGUCAGAAUCAUUUCCAUGACUCAAGUUUCCUUCUCUUUGUGGAAAAAAGAGAAAAACAUGUGAAAAUUGCAUCGUAGGAAAAAGGCCUUAUCCUAAGGUAAAACCAGAGGAUCAGUUCUACCAACAGAGGUCAUGCUGUAAGCUCAGCUGGUAGGAGUUGUGGUGACCCUACUCAUGCUUUAUUACCCUCAUACCAGCUGUGUAGAGCGGGCUGUGUGCAG